UGAGUAUUGACAGAUAGAGAUCUUUCUUGACUUAAUUGUUGGAGGUGCAUGGCCGGCUGGCCCAAUUUAAAAGUUGGUGUAGGGAUUGGCAGGCUGAUUCC
rnacentral:rRNA from 12 species